CGCUGCCAUUGCGACCACUCACUCCGAUUUCCACCAUUACCGUCGCUCAAUCCUCCGCCAGAAGGUUAGCGUUUCGUUUUUUCCGAUCAUCAACUCAGAUUCAAUUCACAGCUUCUUCAAGGGGUUUCUUUCUCGCUCUCUGUUCCGCCCUGCUUUCGUUUGGUUUUCUUUUAAUUUGCUACUGUAAUUCGAGCUCAAAUUGCACUCAAAUUGAUGCGGUGGAAACCUUAAUGUUCUGGUUUCUUUUUUAGAAAUUUUAGGUGACGGACUCGAUGAUUCUUCUGUGUCUCGCUUUACGAGUUGCGAAACCUUGGCGUUGAAGUUCGUAGGUUAUUUUAAAUUUUAGUUUGAAUUUGGUGCUUUGAAUUAGAAGUACAAAAUGAGUAUAUAUCGUUCGCUGGUAACAUUUUUCUUUAUGCUUCCUCGUAUUACUUGCAACCACCAGAAUUCUACUUUGUUUUGAUAGCCGCUAAGUUUCGGGACCUAAGGUUGUUCUAAUCAAUUGAGCUGGACCUUACGAGUGACAGAUGAAGACGAAAUGGAAGAUGGAUCUUUUAGGCAAUCAAGGAAUUGGAAGAACGAUUGUUAAAAAAUCAUCACUAGGACAUAGGAUCAAGCCCAAUAUAAUUGUACGAGCCAAUGCCUAUAUAUUUUAACAAUAAAUAUUUAGACAUUUUAGAAAUAAAUCUACAAGUUUUUCAUCCCAAGCGUAAUAUCUACAAUGUUGUGUUCAACAACCAUUCGAGGUUCUUGGAGAAAUGAAUGACCGUGUUUCAGCGAGGGAAUCAGAGCUCGUGCUUGUGUGCUUCUCUCAGGAAGGGAGAGAUUUAUGGUGUGCUCUUGAGGCUUUAGCUCUUCAAUCAUUGUUUACUAGCUUUGGAUGUCAUAUUUUGAAUCCUCAAUUUCUGAUCAUUGAGAGUGCUUACUUGAGACACCUUCUUUAAUCUACUCCUCUAGUUUACUCAUUUAGGUGGUUAGUAUCUUGAUCUUAUUGGAUUUUGAUUAUGAUCACUGUAUUGAGACCAAAUUUUUGUUGUGGUGACUUUCUUAAAUGUGAUGAAGGAUAUUUUCUGGCGUUGUGUUUGUGUAGUCACAAUUGAAGGGGUUCUGGAAGAACUGUGCAAGUUUUUAACAUAGAGCUAGAUGGGCGUCCACUUGGGACGAUGUAUGGUUAAGCUGCGUUCUAAUAUGGGUUGAUAGUGACUAUAGGGGUGCAGAGAAAAUGCUGCUGCAGACAUUCUGGAUUAAACCCAGAGGUAUACGGCUACCUCAUUGCCAUGAUUACUGUGGUUAAAGAGUUUAAUGAAAAAAGCUCUACACGAACUCGAAAGUUGUGCAAGAGAGGGGAUAGUGGCUGAACUCGAUAAAGACAACAUUGACCUUGUUGAGGGGUAUCAGGCAGAGAUUUUAGCUGAUGGUGUAUAUUAGACGAACACGACUCUCCACAAUGUGGACAGUUAUCCAAUUGGGUUCUUGAAGAUGUAGGCUCUUCAAUUCAUGGGGUGGUUCAUGAAAGACUCCUAAUGUAUGUUUGUGCUGAGCAAGGACUUGAGGCAGAGAGAUAGCUUUGGGAAAUGAAUCUUGUAGGCUCUCGUUUCUUCAGUGUCUCAAGGGUGAAGAAUCUGGUUUUCGCUGUGAAUCAAACGCUAGAUUGAAAAGGAAAAAAACAGUCUACUUUUUGUAGGUGGAUCGGGUCAAAUGAGAACCAGAAUAAGACAACCAAAUAGAAAAAGGAGAAGAUCAAGUGAAUGGGCCGGCUGUUUAAAGAAAGAGUUUGUGAAGCCUUGCUCGUGAACUCCGGAAUGUUAUGUUUGACAGCACCUUGGAUGUGGCCUUCAGAAGACAACACAUGGUCUGUCCCUUCGUUGGACAUCCAGGUUUUACACCAUUCCAUUAUUACAAUACUCUGUUUAAUGCCAAUAAUUUCUGUGCCUAUAUGAUUGAUGCAAGACGUCUUUUCUUAUAAUGUCAGUAAAAGGAACCAACCCAUCCUUUUUAGUGUGUCGGUCGGGUUAAUAUAUAUAGAUUAGGCCUUAACUAACACCAAAACCAUACAUUGUGUUGAGGAGAACAAAAAAGUUGACGUCAAAAUUGAGUAUAUAUGUGGCUGAACUCAUCAAACCAACCCACCCCAUUACAGAUGAGUUCAAAUUAAACCGAACAGACUGAAGCUCUAAAAGUCUAUAUAAGUUGAAUUGCAAACAAUAAAAUCUACCCAAAAUGAUUUUUUUUUUAAUUUUCUCUGCUAAAGAUUCACAUGAUUGGCUGAGGCAGGCAUGGUACUGCCUAAUUGUUGUUUGUUGUGUAUAAUAUUAUUAUAUGGAAGUUCCCAUACAACACGCAGGAAAAUUCCUCCAAUAGAAUAUCCAUGUGUUUAUCUGUCCUGUUUCUGUCGCCACUCAGCUUCCAUUAUUCACAUCUUCAAACCAUUCGCUUCCCAUUCCCUUCCCCUUCUGCUUUGGCAUGUGCAGUGUGAAAGAGCUU